GCCCGGCUGGCUCAGUCAGAAGAGCAUGCGACUCUCGAUCUUGAGGUCUUGAGUUCAAGCCCCUCGUCGGGCA
rnacentral:tRNA from 1 species